GGAGCAGGCGGGAUGAUCGCGGGCCCCUCACCGGGCCGGAGGAAAGUCCGAGCUCCACAGGGCAGGAUGGUCGCUAACAGCGACCGGGGGCGACCCCAGGGAAAGUGCCACAGAAAACAUACCGCCCCGAGCUUGUCGAGGGGUAAGGGUGAAAAGGCGAGGUAAGAGCUCACCAGUUCCCCGGGUGACCGGGGAAGCUCGGCAAACCCCAUCCGGAGCAAGACCGCAUAGGGGAGCGCUCGAGGGCGGCCCGCCCGAGCUCCCGGGUAGGUCGCUUGAGGCGUCAGGCAACUGCCGCCCCAGAGUAAUGAUCAUCGCUCCCCGGAGGGUGACCGAAGGGGGGAACAGGACUCGGCUUACAGCCUGCUCCGACA
rnacentral:RNase_P_RNA from 1 species